GAUGAACGCUAGCGAUAGGCCUAACACAUGCUAGUCGAGGGGCAGCACAAGGUAGCUUGCUAUCUGGGUGGCGACCGGCGCACGGGUGCGUAACGCGUAUGCAACUUGCCCUAUACAGGAGGAUAACCCGUCGAAAGACGGACUAAUACUGCGUAUGCUCACAACUUGGCAUCAAGUGGUGAGGAAAGAAAUUCGGUAUAGGAUAGGCAUGCGUCCCAUUAGCUUGUUGGUGAGGUAACGGCUCACCAAGGCAACGAUGGGUAGGGGAACUGAGAGGUUUAUCCCCCACACUGGUACUGAGACACGGACCAGACUCCUACGGGAGGCAGCAGUGAGGAAUAUUGAUCAAUGGGCGCGAGCCUGAACCAGCCAAGUCGCGUGAAGGAUGACUGUCUUAUGGAUUGUAAACUUCUUUUAUACGGGAAUAACAAGAGUCACGUGUGACUCCCUGCAUGUACCGUAUGAAUAAGCAUCGGCUAACUCCGUG
rnacentral:rRNA from 1 species